UACGGAGGGGGCUAGCGUUGUUCGGAAUUACUGGGCGUAAAGCGCACGUAGGCGGAUAUUUAAGUCAGGGGUGAAAUCCCGGGGCUCAACCCCGGAACUGCCUUUGAUACUGGGUAUCUGGAGGUCGAGAGAGGCGAGUGGAAUUCCGAGUGUAGAGGUGAAAUUCGUAGAUAUUCGGAGGAACACCAGUGGCGAAGGCGGCUCGCUGGCUCGAUACUGACACUCAGGUGCGACAGCGUGGGGAGCAAACAGG
rnacentral:rRNA from 1 species